rnacentral:tRNA from 1 species
GUCCGGGUGGCUCAGGGGGUUAGAGUGUCGUCCUGUACACCAAAAAGGUUCCAGGUUCGAUUCCUGGUCAGGGCA